CCUAUAAGACUGGGAUAACUUCGGGAAACCGGAGCUAAUGCCGGAUAACAUUUGGAACCGCAUGGUUCUAAAGUAAAAGAUGGUUUUGCUAUCACUUAUAGAUGGACCCGCGCCGUAUUAGCUAGUUGGUAAGGUAACGGCUUACCAAGGCAACGAUACGUAGCCGACCUGAGAGGGUGAUCGGCCACACUGGAACUGAGACACGGUCCAGACUCCUACGGGAGGCAGCAGUAGGGAAUCUUCCGCAAUGGACGAAAGUCUGGCGGAGCAACGCCGCGUGAGUGAUGAAGGUUUUCGGAUCGUAAAACUCUGUUAUUAGGGAAGAACAAAUGUGUAAGUAACUGUGCACAUCUUGACGGUACCUAAUCAGAAAGCCACGGCUAACUACGUGCCAGCAGCCGCGGUAAUACGUAGGUGGCAAGCGUUAUCCGGAAUUAUUGGGCGUAAAGCGCGCGUAGGCGGUUUCUUAAGUCUGAUGUGAAAGCCCACGGCUCAACCGUGGAGGGUCAUUGGAAACUGGGAAACUUGAGUACAGAAGAGGAAAGUGGAAUUCCAUGUGUAGCGGUGAAAUGCGCAGAGAUAUGGAGGAACACCAGUGGCGGAGGCGACUUUCUGGUCUGUAACUGACGCUGAUGUGCGAAAGCGUGGGGAUCAAACAGGAUUAGAUACCCUGGUAGUCCACGCCGUAAACGAUGAGUGCUAAGUGUUAGGGGGUUUUCCGCCCCUUAGUGCUGCAGCUAACGCAUUAAGCACUCCGCCUGGGGAGUACGACCGCAAGGUUGAAACUCAAA
rnacentral:rRNA from 1 species